AGCAGUUGCUUUACUUCAUUCCCACAUAUCUAAAUUUUUUUAGCUUGUUUUUAUGUUAUUGCUUCGCUUCAACCCAUUAAUGGAAUAUCUAAGCUCUCAGUGGGGAUUUCAUUCCCACAGAAGAAAUGUAGCCUAGCCGAAGAUCCCUCCUUUUGAGAUCAUAAGCUGUUCCCUCCAGAACCCAGAGGAUUAUGUAGAGUGUUUUAGUGAGUGGAGAAGUUGGUGGUGCUGGUGGAGCAUACUCAUAUGAAGCCUUGAAAAGAUUAGACCGGCUAUGGUCAAGCAUAUGCUCCUCUCAAGAAGAGGCUUGGUGAUCCAGUGCUCCGACUGUUUCUACAGGAUGUUGUGCAGUUUGGUCCUCUUUCCAAGACACUGGGCCUGGUUAUGUUAACAAAUCCUAAAAUACUCCCAUCCAUAUUUAAACAGGUUGGUAUUCCUGUACUUCUUGAUUGGUCCUGACAUUUUCUGGGGCUUGGCUACUACACCUUUUUAUCGACCUUUGCUGAUCCUAUUGUGAGCCAUUUUUAAAUGCAUUACCAUCCAAGACUAGUUUCCACUGGAAGCGGUAUCUCGAGGAUUGGAAAUAUGGAGCUGAUCUUGAUUACAAGUUAUAUUAACUACUUCUACAUAUGAUUCAGAUCAACCUACAAAAUAGAGAUUAUGUGGUGGCGUAAUUGGUUUUUCCCUCACAUCCAAUUUCAUGUGGUUCUUUUCAAGAUUUACUAUUCAUUUCAUUGACUCUUGAUCUUUCAACGGAAACAGGAUGUUUUUAUUCAUUUAUACCACUUCCACAUCAAGUGAGGUAACAUAAAUGGAAAUUACUUUUUAACUAUUUAGUCCGAGAUGUAUCA